rnacentral:sRNA from 1 species
ACCUGCACCGGUUGCCCGGUCGCAAAUCCCGCUGCUUCCAGCCAGUUCCCCUUCAAAUGCAAACUGGGGGACUGGCUGUAAUGGCGGGUCAUGCCGGUGUUGCGGUCGGCAUGGCGGGUACUG